rnacentral:tRNA from 1 species
GCAGUGGUGGUCCAGUGGUAGAAUCCUCACCUCACGUGUGGGAGACCUGGGUUCCAUUCCAGGCCAGUGCG